ACCCGCUGAACUUAAGCAUAUCAAUAAGCGGAGGAAAAGAAACCAACAGGGAUUGCCCUAGUAACGGCGAGUGAAGCGGCAACAGCUCAAAUUUGAAAGCUAGCCUUCGGGUUCGCAUUGUAAUUUGUAGAGGAUGAUUUGGGGAAGCCGCCUGUCUAAGUUCCUUGGAACAGGACGUCAUAGAGGGUGAGAAUCCCGUAUGUGACAGGAAAUGGCACCCUAUGUAAAUCUCCUUCGACGAGUCGAGUUGUUUGGGAAUGCAGCUCUAAAUGGGAGGUAAAUUUCUUCUAAAGCUAAAUAUUGGCGAGAGACCGAUAGCGCACAAGUAGAGUGAUCGAAAGAUGAAAAGCACUUUGGAAAGAGAGUUAAAAAGCACGUGAAAUUGUUGAAAGGGAAGCGCUUGCAAUCAGACUUGUUUAAACUGUUCGGCCGGUCUUCUGACCGGUUUACUCAGUUUGGACAGGCCAGCAUCAGUUUCGGCGGCCGGAUAAAGGCUCUGGGAAUGUGGCCUCCACUUCGGUGGAGGUGUUAUAGCCCAGGGUGUAAUACGGCCAGCCGGGACUGAGGUCCGCGCUUCGGCUAGGAUGCUGGCGUAAUGGUUGUAAGCGACCCGUCUUGAAACACGG
rnacentral:rRNA from 1 species